CGGGAUAUGGCGAAGCUUGGUAUCGCGCCUGAUUUGGGUUCAGGAGAUCGUCGGUUCGAAUCCGGCUAUCCCGA
rnacentral:tRNA from 1 species